ensembl:lncRNA
GUCAGGAUGCUUGAGCAACAGUGUGAACAAGCCCACAGGACCAGAUGCCCCAGGGCUACCGGGAGAAACACUCGAGGCUGUUCAUCCUUAGCUGGCUUAAGCUCUGCCUUUGUCCUGUGUCUGGAGACUUCUUGGAAGCUGAAGCACACAAAUAGCUACAGCAAACUUGAGGAAUGGGCAUGAAUAGACUGGCUUUGGGGAACCUGCCAGCUUGGCUGUGUGGCCAAGUUUAGAAAGAUUACUCGAAACCUGCAGGAUACGGGAGAAGGAAGAUGAUGGAAGCUAUGGUCCCUUGGAGAACUAUUGCUGCCGUUCACAUUGUUCUGGUGCAGGCUGAGGGCUGCUUUCCUUCAGCAGCCCUCCUUCAGAACUCUUCAGGCAGGAAGCAGUACCUGUUUCUGUGCUUGCAAUUAUCUCAAAUCCAGGAGAUCCACGUCAAGCUCUCCCGAGGAUUGUCUCACCCCACUCCACCAGAGUGGUUGGAGCUUCUGCAGCUCAACAAAUACCAACCAGGAAAGAGACUUACUCAUGCUGCCUCAAGAGAUGGAGCCAGAAUAUUAUGCCCUGUGGAAUAACGAAAAUAAAGAAAAUAAGAAUUUUUGCCUAGGUUUCCUCUUCUAAAACUUACAAUCUAAACCAGAGACCAGAAAAAGGCUCACGACAAGGAAUCACAAAACCAUAGCUUCCCAUGGAGACUAGAACUCAAUUUAUGUUCUGAAAAGUGAUUCUAAUCACUGGUUGUUCCCUUGCUAACUUCUUGAGUGUUCUGUCUGCCUUUGCACCUCUCUGUGUGCCUAUAUUCUUCUGCUACUAUAUAGCUGAUUUUUACUAGGUAACUUUAAAGUCUCAAGAGAGAGGAUUGGGUUGGUCAACGUAAUCACUAUGAUUCAUAAAGGGCAGAGCUUUUGGCGUCAGACCAUCUCAUAGGCUGUUGGUCUGACUAGUUUAGCUGCCUUUGGGUUAGGUAUGAACCUUAGUCCAGCUGUCUGUGGGUGGCAGACUGAUGUGGAGCAAAACUUGUCCACCUACACUUAAAGAACUUCCUAGAUUGGAACACCGAGGUGGGCAGAUUGCUUUGAGCUCACAAGUUUGUAACCAACAUGGGCGACAUGGCGAAACCCCAUCUCUAAUAAAAAAAAAAAAAAAAUAGCAGGGCAUGGUGGUGCAUGCCUGUGUUCCCAGUUACUUGGGAGGCUGAGGUGGGAGAAUGGUUUGAGCC